AUUGAACGCUGGCGGCAGGCCUAAUACAUGCAAGUCGAGCGGAUGAAGGGAGCUUGCGCCUGGCUUCAGCGGCGGACGGGCGAGUAAUGCAUAGGAAGAUGCCUGAUAGUGGGGGAUGAGGUCAGGACACGGGAGCGAAUACAGCACACGACCAGAGGGAGAACGGGGGGGAUCUUAGGACAAAGCGGUAUUAGAUGAGACUAGGUCGGAUUAGCUAGUUGGUGUGGUAAAGGCCUACCAAGGCGACGAUCCGUAGCAGGUCUGAGAGGCUGAUCAGUCACACUGGAACUGAGACACGGUCCAGACUCCUACGGGAGGCAGCAGUGGGGAAUAUUGGACAAUGGGCGAAAGCCUGAUGCAGCCAUGCCGCGUGUGUGAAGAAGGUCUUCGGAUUGUAAAGCACUUUUAGUUGGGAGGAAGGGCAGUAAGUGUAUACCUUGCUGUCUUGACGUUACCAACAGAAUAAGCACCGGCUAACUUCGUG
rnacentral:rRNA from 1 species